rnacentral:tRNA from 1 species
AAGACUUUAAGUUAAUAAGACUAUUAGCCUUCAAAGCUUUAAAUAUAAGUUUAAUCUUUUAAGUUUUA